CCCUUAGAUGUUCUGGGCCGCACGCGCGCUACACUGAUGCAUUCAACGAGUCUAAAACCUGCUCUGAUAGGGGUGGGUAAUCUUUUGAAUGUGCAUCGUGAUUGGGAUAGAUGAUUGCAAUUUUUCAUCUUCAACGAGGAAUGCCUAGUAAACGCAAGUCAUCAGCUUGCAUUGAUUACGUCCCUGCCCUUUGUACACACCGCCCGUCGCUCCUACCGAUUGAAUGAUCCGAUGAAUAUCAGGGAUUGAGGAUGCAAGCAGGUUCGCCUGUCUUCAUCUUCGAGAAGUGAAGUAAAUCUUAUCAUUUAGAGGAAGGAGAAGUCGUAACA
rnacentral:rRNA from 1 species